rnacentral:other from 1 species
UUAUAUUUUGCAAAUAUUUGGGGAGACACUGACUUUUCUCCCCGUGCUCUCCCAUUCCUCUCUGCGGAGUGCGCUGCGCCACCCAGCCCUGUCGCUUCCCAGGAGGUGAUCACUUGCCUCCUGCCUGCCCGCCAGCCUGACCUGUGCCCGGCUCGCGGGCCGCAGCCUCGGCUCCGGCGCACCCCCGGCAGCUCUCAGCGCGAUG